UGCAGAAUGGAGUAAAGGUAACUCACUGGUCUCAUACGCCAGCGUUCCCAGUUCGAGUCUGGGUUCUGCAA
rnacentral:tRNA from 1 species